GACGUAGGAUGCGAGCGUUGUCCGGAUUUAUUGGGCGUAAAGAGUUCGUAGGUGGUUCAUUAAGUCUGGUGUUAAAGACCGGGGCUCAACCUCGGGAUCGCACUGGAUACUGGUGGACUGGAGUGCAGUAGAGGCAAGCGGAAUUCCCAGUGUAGCGGUGAAAUGCGUAGAUAUUGGGAAGAACACCGGUGGCGCAAGCGGCUUGCUGGGCUGUAACUGACACUGAGGAACGAAAGCUAGGGGAG
rnacentral:rRNA from 1 species